CCCAACAAGGAGAAGACAGUGGUGUUGGACCAACAACCUUAACGAACUUCUGCGCCAGCCUUUGUCGGGUGUGGACGUCUCUCGCCUGACUAUCAGCUACACAUUUUCCCCGUUCUUUCUGGGACGCUUGUCCUCUUUAUUUUGCCGGCUGGGCACUACCGGAAGGGCACAUGAUCAUCGGCUUUCUUUAGGCAGCUCCAUUUUUUCCGCUCUACGGAUAAUUCUUUAACGGUCUUUUUUGGGAAGCCGGUUACUGUACUUAGGUGUGGGUGUUGGCGUCCCGCACUGCUGGAGCUUUACAAGGAGGUCCACCGGAUCUAAUCGGAAACUUCGCUUCUAUCUCUAUUUACAAAGGAACUUUUGUUCCUUUUCUCUCAUCGCUCAGUCUUGAGCAACAGAUUUUCCUGAUACCAUCGAGAAGUCAGGCUGGGUGCGGCUGAUGCUGUCAGUGGCCCUCAUAAACCCAACAAAGAAAGACAAAAAAAGAACCCUCAUAAACGCUUAAUCAUCUGUUUUCUGAAUAAUAAUGUUAAUUCGUGUAACUGAAGCUUACCGCUUUGUUCUCCACACUACAAAAUUACUUCAAAAUUCAUAUCGUGCUCAGAGAUGGGUUUCAUCCCUGGAUCAGUUUCCUGUGAUUCGUGUUCCAGUAGCAUUAUCAGAGAAGUUGAAAAGAGAAAAGAUCAAAGUUAAGAGAAAAGAAAGGGAGCUCAUCGUGGAUAAAAUCUCGGAGAGGUGACCAGUCUACACCAAUAAUUUCUUGCAAAAGAAAAGAAUAUGACCAUUAUCUGGGACAAACUUACGACAAGUUUGCUGUGGUUCCUCUUGCAUCAAAGGGCUGGGGUCACAGAAAAUCAUCGGGAGAUUACUUCACUAUCAAUACCAGU